AGCGAACGCUGGCGGCAGGCUUAACACAUGCAAGUCGAGCGCCCCGCAAGGGGAGCGGCAGACGGGAGAGUAACACGUGGGAACGUACCUUUCAGUUCGGAACAACCAAGGGAAACUUUGGCUAAUACCGAAUACGCCCGUAAGGGGAAAGAUUUAUCGCUGAAAGAUCGGCCCGCGUCUGAUUAGCUAGUUGGUGGGGUAAUGGCCCACCAAGGCGACGAUCAGUAGCUGGUCUGAGAGGAUGAUCAGCCUCACUGGGACUGAGACACGGCCCAGACUCCUACGGGAGGCAGCAGUGGGGAAUAUUGGACAAUGGGCGCAAGCCUGAUCCAGCCAUGCCGCGUGGAUGAUGAAGGCCUUAGGGUUGUAAAGUCCUUUUAACGGGGAAGAUAAUGACGGUACCCGUAGAAUAAGCCCCGGCUAACUUCGUGCCAGCAGCCGCCGUAACAC
rnacentral:rRNA from 1 species